rnacentral:rRNA from 1 species
AUUGAACGCUGGCGGCAGGCCUAACACAUGCAAGUCGAACGAGUGGCGGACGGGUGAGUAAUGUAUGGGAAGCUGCCUGAUGGAGGGGGAUAACUACUGGAAACGGUAGCUAAUACCGCAUACCAUCAGAUGUGCCCAGAUGGGAUUGGCUUGUUGGUGGGGUAACGGCCCACCAAGGCGACGAUCCCUAGCUGGUCUGAGAGGAUGACCCGCCAAACUGGAACGGAGACACGGUCCAGACUCCUCCGGGAGGCAGCAGUGGGGAAUAUUGCACAAUGGGCGAAAGCCUGAUGCAGCAAUGCCGCGUGUAGGAAGAAGGCCUUCGGGUUGUAAAGUACUUUCAGCGGGGAGGCGUUACCCGCAGAAGAAGCACCGGCUAACUCCGUGCCAGCAGCCGCGGUAAUAC